rnacentral:rRNA from 1 species
CCUACGGGAGGCAGCAGUGAGGAAUAUUGGUCAAUGGACGAGAGUCUGAACCAGCCAAGUAGCGUGAAGGAUGACUGCCCUAUGGGUUUUAAACUUCUUUUAUAAAGGAAUAAAACGAGGCACGUGUGCCUUUUUGCAUGUACUUUAUGAAUAAGGAUCGGCUAACUCCGUGCCAGCAGCCGCGGUAAUACGGAGGAUCCGAGCGUUAUCCGGAUUUAUUGGGGUUAAAGGGAGCGUAGAUGGGUUGUUAAGUCAGUCGUGAAAGUCUGCGGCUCAACCGUAAAAGUGCAAUUGAUACUGGCGGUCUUGAGUACAGGUGAGGUAGGCGGAAUUCGUGGUGUAGCGGUGAAAUGCUUAGAUAUCACGAAGAACUCCGAUUGCGAAGGCAGCGUACUAGACUAUGACUGACACUGAGGCUCGAAAGUGUGGGUAUCAAACAGGAUUAGAUACCCUUGUAGUC